CAAUAUAUAAUUCAGAUGAAAACGCUAGGGAUUGUGGACUAGAGGAGAAGAGAAAAUAAUAUUUCGUACUUGUAGCCGCACUUGCAGUCAGGGUGGGUCGUUGAUCAACCAAUUCUCGCCCAAGAAGAGCGAGUUAUGAUCAUCUGAUUCGGCCAUGAUUGGGAUAAAACAUGCAUGUAGAAUCAUCAAGAUGUCAAUUUUGGGGAAACAGAAAGAUGGAGCCUAUCUUGAGAGGAAAUUUGCCUUCUGGCUUUGAUUCAAGUGCGUGCUGCAUUGUGAUUCUCAUUCUGUGCUUUUUAUUGCAGAUAUGUGGGUAACAUCCACACUCUGGUUAUGAAACCCCUCCUUCAAGAGGUUUUCUCAAACAUUGGAUCCAUUGAAGGAUGUAAGCCAAUUAGGAAUGAGAAGGUUUAUUGUGUUACCUUAGCUUGUUGAAAAUGGAAUUAUAGCCAGUUUUACGAAAUCUAUGUAAUAUUACUUUGUCAAGUUACUUUUUGUGAUGAAAAUAUUUUGUUAAUCCGUUAAUUAUUGUUUUAUUUGUAUUGCAAUAAUAAAAGUAGUUAUUCUACA